rnacentral:rRNA from 1 species
GUUUGAUCCUGGCUCAGAGCGAACGUUAGCGGCAGGCUUAACACAUGCAAGUCGAGCGACAAAGGGGCUUCGGCCCUGAGUAGAGCGGCGGACGGGUGCGUAACACGUGGAUAAUCUGCCUCGUGGCGGGGGAUAACAGUCCGAAAGGACUGCUAAUACCGCAUGUCAGGUCGGAAACCCCGGUUUCUGACGAAAAAGAGGGCGCCCGCAAGGGGCUCUCACCACGAGAUGAGUCCGCGGCCCAUCAGCUAGUUGGCGGUGUAAUAGACCACCAAGGCUAAGACGGGUAGCUGGUCUGAGAGGAUGACCAGCCACACUGGGACUGAGACACGGCCCAGACUCCUACGGGAGGCAGCAGUGGGGAAUAUUGGACAAUGGGCGAAAGCCUGAUCCAGCCAUGCCGCGUGAGUGAUGAAGGUCUUCGGAUCGUAAAGCUCUGUGGGAAGGGACGAAAAAGCCGUAACCUAAUACGUUAGGUCUUGACGGUACCUUCUUAGCAAGCACCGGCUAACUCCGUGCCAGCACG